rnacentral:lncRNA from 1 species
UUCCCCUCUCCUUCGCUUCUUUCGAUUCGAGAAAUCUCGAUCUCGCUCUCUUUUGUUCCCUCGUUCCCGCAACCUCACCGCUUCCGGCAAAUCCACCUGUCCAUCUUCUUCUAAGCCAAAAACACCAUGAAAAUAACAAAAAAAAAAGUGAGAACAGAGCAAAACGAAAGCGAUAGGAACAGAUGGAAAGUGAUAGAAGGAGAGAGAUCUGAGAGAAAUCACAACCAGGUGUAUCUCGAAGACUGCUACUCCUCUGCCUCCGUCUGGACAAUCCAUUCGUCGCCGCCAUCGUUGUUCUCCUUGCUUCUCUAUUUCUCUCCAUGAG